GGGGAUAUGGCGGAAUUGGUAGACGCAACGGACUUAAUAUCCGUUGGAGCUUUGCUUCGUGAGGGUUCAAGUCCCUCUAUCCCCA
rnacentral:tRNA from 1 species